GGCUGAGUAACGCGUGGGAACGCACCCCAAAGUGAGGGAUAACGCACCGAAAGGUGUGCUAAUACCGCAUAUGGUCUUCGGAUUAAAGGAUUUAUCCGCUUUGGGAGUGGCCUGCGUCAGAUUAGAUAGUUGGUGAGGUAAAGGCUCACCAAGUCGACGAUCUGUAACUGGUUUGAGAGGAUGAUCAGUCAGACUGGAACUGAGACACGGUCCAGACUCCUACGGGAGGCAGCAGUAGGGAAUCUUUCACAAUGGGCGAAAGCCUGAUGGAGCAACGCCGCGUGCAGGACGAAGGCCUUAGGGUUGUAAACUGCUUUUAUUAUUGAGAAAUAUGAUGGUAAAUAAUGAAUAAGGAUCGGCUAACUACGUGCCAGCAGCCGCGGUCAUACGUAGGAUCCAAGCAUUAUCCGGAGUGACUGGGCGUAAAGAGUUGCGUAGGUGGUCUUAUAAGUGAAUAGUGAAAUCUGGUGGCUCAACCAUACAGACUAUUAUUCAAACUGUGAGACUCGAGAACAGCAGAGGUAACUGGAAUUUCUAGUGUAGGAGUGAAAUCCGUAGAUAUUAGAAGGAACACCAAUGGCGUAGGCAGGUUACUGGGCUGUUUCUGACACUAAGGCACGAAAGCGUGGGGAGCGAACCGGAUUAGAUACCCGGGUAGUCCACGCCGUAAACGAUGAAUACUAGCUGUUGGAGGUAUCGACCCCUUCAGUAGCGAAGCUAACGCGUUAAGUAUUCCGCCUGUGUAGUACGAUCGCAAGAUUAAAACUCAAAGGAAUUGACGGAAUCACUAG
rnacentral:rRNA from 1 species